rnacentral:rRNA from 1 species
GAUGAACGCUAGCGGCAGGCCUAAUACAUGCAAGUCGAACGGGUUGGUUCAGCAAUGGACCAAUCAGUGGCGCACGGGUGCGUAACGCGUAUGCAACCUACCUUAAACUGGGGGAUAGCCUUCCGAAAAGGGAGAUUAAUACCGCAUAAGACUAUUUGAUGGCAUCUGAAGAUAGUUAAAGAUUUUAUUGGUUUAAGAUGGGCAUGCGUGCCAUUAGCUAGUUGGAGUGUAACGGACUA